rnacentral:rRNA from 1 species
UGUCUUCGUAGGUGAACCUGCGUAGGGAUCAUUUUUGUGGGUUUUUGUAUGGUAAUAUCUUUUGAUAUUAUGUUGCCAAGUAUUUAUACUUAACCUUUAGUGUUUCUGCAACAAACACAUUCGCACAUUAUCUAGUAUUUUGUGUGGUUGGUAAUUUCUCUUUGAGAAAGAGCCACAAUUUCAAGUCUUCAUAAUGGACGACUUGGCUCUUGUAUCGAUGAAGAACGCAGUGAAAGGCGAAACGUAAUGUGAAUCGCAACUAACAGUGAAUCAUCGAAUCUUUGAACGCAGGCCGCGCCUUGCAUAUCACUCGUGUUAUCGCAAGGCAUUUACGUAUGAGUGUCAGCCUAAUAUACUUUUGGUUUAAUGGUAAUUUAUGUACUAUUGAAUUCAUUGUGCGAAUAUCAUUUUGAUAUACGCGUUUAACAAAAUUUGUAUGUCUGGCCUCAUAUGUGAAAGGUUACCCGCUGGAUUUAAGCAUAUCAGUAAGCGG